CAGAGAAUAGUUUAAAUAAAAAUUUUAGUUUUGGAGACUUAUGAUAGAGAGUAAUCUUUUUCUCUGA
rnacentral:tRNA from 1 species